rnacentral:rRNA from 1 species
ACAGGUGGUGCAUGGUUGUCGUCAGCUCGUGUCGUGAGAUGUUGGGUUAAGUCCCGCAACGAGCGCAACCCUUAUCUUUAAUGCCAGCAUUCAGUUGGGCACUUUAAAGAGACUGCCGGUGUUAAACCGGAGGAAGGUGGGGAUGACGUCAAGUCCUCAUGGCCUUUAUGCUUAGGGCUACACACGUGCUACAAUGGGUGGUACAAAGAGAAGCCAACUCGCGAGAGCGCGCCAAUCUCAAAAAGCCAUCCUCAGUUCGGAUUGGAGUCUGCAACUCGACUCCAUGAAGUUGGAUUCGCUAGUAAUCGCGCAUCAGCCAUGGCGCGGUGAAUACGUUCCCGGGCCUU